UACGGAGGAUGCAAGCGUUAUCCGGAUUUAUUGGGUUUAAAGGGUGCGCAGGCGGAACAAUAAGUCAGUGGUGAAAUCCUACGGCUCAACCGUAGAACUGCCAUUGAUACUGUUGUUCUUGAGUAUAGUUGAAGUAGGCGGAAUGUGUUGUGUAGCGGUGAAAUGCAUAGAUAUGACACAGAACUCCGAUCGCGAAGGCAGCUUACUAAACUAUAACUGACGCUCAUGCACGAAAGCGUGGGGAGCGAACAGG
rnacentral:rRNA from 1 species